GACUCCAUAGCACUGAGUCAUAGAAGUUAAAGUGGAGUCAAACUACAUUAAUUCUAUAGUACAGAUGCAUUCUAAGACAAACUCAAGGAGCAGAGAAACUUCCCAUGGAGCAGGAGGGGAAAAGCUCACUUUAUCUUGAUUUUCAGUAUGAUACAGACUAUGAAAGUAGGCCUUACAAUCCUUUUCUUGUUUGGAGUUUUAAACAGAAGGUGUCAGAA
rnacentral:ncRNA from 1 species